rnacentral:rRNA from 1 species
AACGAACGCUGGCGGCAUGCCUAACACAUGCAAGUCGAACGAGACCUUCGGGUCUAGUGGCGCACGGGUGCGUAACGCGUGGGAACCUGCCUUUAGGUUCGGAAUAACUCAGAGAAAUUUGAGCUAAUACCGGAUGAUGUCUUCGGACCAAAGAUUUUUCGCCUUUAGAUGGGCCCGCGUUGGAUUAGCUAGUUGGUGGGGUAAAGGCCUACCAAGGCGACGAUCCAUAGCUGGUCUGAGAGGAUGAUCAGCCACACUGGGACUGAGACACGGCCCAGACUCCUACGGGAAGCAGCAGUGGGGAAUAUUGGACAAUGGGCGAAAGCCUGAUCCAGCAAUGCCGCGUGAGUGAUGAAGGCCUUAGGGUUGUAAAGCUCUUUUACCCGAGAUGAUAAUGACAGUAUCGGGAGAAUAAGCUCCGGCUAACUCCGUG